AUGCUCUACAUCUACCCUGUAGAUCCGAAUUUGUUUGAAAAACGGCGACAAAUUCGGUUCUAGAGAGGUUUGUGUGGUGCAUA
rnacentral:pre_miRNA from 1 species